AAUGAAAUUCCCAUAUUGGCCGUGAUGGAUAUAUAAUACUGUACACUUAAGAUAAUAUACCCACUCUUUUGACAGAUAUACAAGUGCAUUUUUUCUUGAUUUAUGGACUUUUAAACGACUUACAUAUACAUACA